GAGGUCUGGGUCAAAACAGCUCUCGAGCGGUAAUGCCAUUGCAUUUAGUUACAAAACGUUAAGCACACCGGACCGAAUAUGUUUUGGGAUCUGAUUGGUGGAAUUUUCGAGUUCAUUUUCGGACUCUUGUUUCCCAGUUCCGGCAGUGGAGACGAACCAGAUUCUGAGGAGGUGGAAACCACCUGAAAAUAUUAUUAUUUUUUACUCUUUUUCAAUUGCAAAAGUUUCAUGUUUUCGCUUUAUUAUAUCUACGUAAAAAGUGUAUAUUUAACAUAAAUUGCUUCAACAGCUAC